CCGCUCAUAGCUCAGCUGGUAGAGCAGCUCCCUCUUAAGGAGAUGGUCCCAGGUUCGAUUCCUGGUGAGCGGACAA
rnacentral:tRNA from 2 species